CUGUUUUAGCGGCGGACGGGUGAGUAACGCGUGAGCAACCUUUCCCAGACAGGGGAAUAACACACCGAAAGGUGUACUAAUACCGCAUAAGACCACGGGAUCACAUGGUUCUGGGGUAAAAGAUUUAUCGGUUUGGGGUGGGCUCGCGUCCGAUUAGGUAGUUGGUGAGGUAACGGCCCACCAAGCCGACGAUCGGUAGCCGACCUGAGAGGGUGAUCGGCCACAUUGGGACUGAGACACGGCCCAAACUCCUACGGGAGGCAGCAGUGGGGAAUAUUGGGCAAUGGAGGAAACUCUGACCCAGCAACGCCGCGUGGAGGAAGAAGGUUUUCGGAUCGUAAACUCCUGUCCUUGGAGACGAGUAGAAGACGGUAUCCAAGGAGGAAGCCCCGGCUAACUACGUGCCAGCAGCCGCGGUAAUACGUAGGGGGCAAGCGUUGUCCGGAAUAAUUGGGCGUAAAGGGCGCGUAGGCGGCUCGGUAAGUCUGGAGUGAAAGUCCUGCUUUUAAGGUGGGAAUUGCUUUGGAUACUGUCGGGCUUGAGUGCAGGAGAGGUUAGUGGAAUUCCCAGUGUAGCGGUGAAAUGCGUAGAGAUUGGGAGGAACACCAGUGGCGAAGGCGACUAACUGGACUGUAACUGACGCUGAGGCGCGAAAGUGUGGGGAGCAAACAGGAUUAGAUACCCUGGUAGUCCACACUGUAAACGAUGAAUGCUAGGUGUAGGGGGUAUCGACCCCUUCUGUGCCGCAGUCAACACAAUAAGCAUUCCGCCUGGGGAGUACGGCCGCAAGGUUGAAACUCAAAGGAAUUGACGGGGGCCCGCACAAGCAGCGGAGCAUGUGGUUUAAUUCGACGCAACGCGAAGAACCUUACCAGGUCUUGACAUCCACUUAAACUUACAGAGAUGUAAGGUGUGCUUGCACAAAGUGAGACAGGUGGUGCAUGGUUGUCGUCAGCUCGU
rnacentral:rRNA from 1 species